rnacentral:rRNA from 1 species
UACGUAGGGGGCAAGCGUUGUCCGGAAUUAUUGGGCGUAAAGCGCGUGUAGGCGGCUGGUUAGGUGUGAUGUGAAAUCCUCGGGCUCAACCCGAGAACUGCAUUGCAAACCGGCCUGGCUAGAGUGCAGGAGAGGGAAGCGGAAUUCCAGGUGUAGCGGUGAAAUGCGUAGAUAUUCGCAAGAACACCAGUGGCGAAGGCGGCUCACUGGCCCGGUACUGACGCUGAGGUGCGAAAGCGUGGGGAGCAAACAGG